GGGGGGGUGGGGGGGGUGUGGGUGGUGUGUGUGUGGUGUGGCGUGUAGAUGGUUGUCAUCCUUUACAGUUAAACUGAUAUUACUUGAUUAAUAUUCUAUUUUCUUCGGUCUCAUGAUAUUUAUCCAUAUCCUCAUCAUUUUUAUUAUUUUGCUUCAUCAACCUCAUCUCCCUCCUAAUUUCUCACUCCUCUCUCUUUCUCUUCAAGGUUUUUUUAGAUUAAACAUUUGAAUUUGAACAAAAUGGGCUGGUAAAUUUUCUCAUUUGAAUACAUUUUUGCAACAGAGGAUAAGCAUACCUGAGAUUAGGAACCACGAA
rnacentral:misc_RNA from 1 species